AUUGAACGCUGGCGGCAGGCCUAACACAUGCAAGUCGAACGAGUGGCGGACGGGUGCGUAAUGUCUGGGAAACUGCCCGAUGGAGGGCGAUAACUACUGGAAACGGUAGCUAAUACCGCAUACCAUCGGAUGUGCCCAGAUGGGAUUAGCUAGUCGUUGGGGUAACGGCUCACCUAGGCGACGAUCCCUAGCUGGUCUGAGAGGAGGACCAGACAAACGGGAACUGAUACACGGUCCAGACUCCUACGGUAGGCAGCAGUGGGAAAUAUUGCACAAUGGGCGCAAGCCUGAUGCAGCCAUGCCGCGUGUAUGAAGAAGGCCUUCGGGUUGUAAAGUACUUUCAGCGAGGAGGCGUUACUCGCAGAAGAAGCACCGGCUAACUCCGUGCCAGCAGCCGCGGUAAUUC
rnacentral:rRNA from 1 species